AGUAUGAGAUGUGUUACAUCCAUUACAUUCGUUUUAAAAUAAAUUGAGUUUAUAUUAAUUGAGUAGACAGAGGGUCCAAUAACCUAUUGCCUUUGUAUUCCAAAAAGCAACAAGUAAAUUCCCCAUCUGUCUCACAGGUUCACAGGUGUGUGUGGGAUGAAAGAGAAAGGUGUGCACAUGCCCAAAUGAAUGGGCCAGCUACAACCAAACUCUUCAUUAAAAUUCAAUAAUGAUCCUUCCGCAGGUUCACCUACGGAAA
rnacentral:misc_RNA from 1 species